rnacentral:rRNA from 1 species
CUACGGGAGGCACCAGUGAGGAAUAUUGCACAAUGGAGGAAACUCUGAUGCAGCAACGCCGCGUGGAGGAUGACGCAUUUCGGUGUGUAAACUCCUUUUAUAUGUCAAGAAAAUGGCGGUAGCAUAUGAAUAAGCACCGGCUAACUCCGUGCCAGCAGCCGCGGUAAUACGGAGGGUGCAAGCGUUACUCGGAAUCACUGGGCGUAAAGGACGCGUAGGCGGGAUAUCAAGUCAGGUGUGAAAUCCUACAGCUUAACUGUAGAACUGCACUUGAAACUGGUAACCUAGAGUAUGGGAGGGGGAGAUGGAAUUAGUGGUGUAGGGGUAAAAUCCGUAGAUAUCACUAGGAAUACCUAAAGCGAAGGCGAUCUCCUGGAACAUAACUGACGCUAAGGCGUGAAAGCGUGGGGAGCAAACAGGAUUAGAUACCCCUGUAGUC